rnacentral:rRNA from 1 species
GAGGCAUCUCUUGUGUAUCAAAGAUUUAUCGCCGAGGGAUGGGCUCGCGUCUGAUUAGAUAGUUGGUAGGGUAACGGCCUACCAAGUCGACGAUCAGUAGCCGGACUGAGAGGUUGAACGGCCACAUUGGGACUGAGAUACGGCCCAGACUCCUACGGGAGGCAGCAGUGGGGAAUAUUGGGCAAUGGGGGCAACCCUGACCCAGCAACGCCGCGUGAAGGAAGAAGGCUUUCGGGUUGUAAACUUCUUUGACCGGGGACGAUAAUGACGGUACCCGGAAAACAAGCCACGGCUAACUACGUGCCAGCAGCCGCGGUAAUACGUAGGUGGCGAGCGUUGUCCGGAUUUACUGGGUGUAAAGGGCGCGUAGGCGGGGCGACAAGUCAGGUGUGAAAUCUAGGGGCUCAACCCCUAAACUGCACUUGAAACUGUAGCUCUUGAGUAUCGGAGAGGCAGGCGGAAUUCCUAGUGUAGCGGUGAAAUGCGUAGAUAUUAGGAGGAACACCAGUGGCGAAGGCGGCCUGCUGGACGACAACUGACGCUGAGGCGCGAAAGCGUGGGGAGCAAACAGGAUUAGAUA